rnacentral:tRNA from 1 species
GGGUGUGUGAUCUAGUGGUAUGAUUCUCGCUCUUGGCGCAAGAGGUCUCGAGUUCGAUUCUCGACUCAGCCC